rnacentral:misc_RNA from 1 species
AAAAUAAUCCUACCUUUGUGAAUUUUGUUUGUUUGAAUAAUUUUUUUUUUUAAAAAUUAUUGGAGUCUUUCCCUUUAGAGUUUGCUUUUGAGUUUGUAAAAGAAUUCGAAAACAUCUAAAGGGGAUGGUCAAUAAUUUUUUUUGAAAAAGACAUUUUUUAAAAUUAAACUUUUUGUAUUCGUUUGUCUAAAAAUUAUUUUUAUAAUAUAAAACAACUUUUGACAAUGGAUCUCUUGGUUCUCGCAACGAUGAAGAACGCAGCAAAAUGCGAUAAGUAGUGUGAAUUGCAGAAUACGUGAAUCAUCGAAUCUUUGAACGCAUAUUGCACUUUUUUAGUUUACUAAAAAGUAUGUCUGUUUGAGUAUCAGUAAAAUAUUCUCAUAAAAAUCAUUGUGUAUUUUUAUGGUUAUGAGUGUUUUACAACGAUACAAGUUGUUUCACUUUAAAUUUUUUUUUAAUAUUGAAAUUUUUCUAAUUUAAUAAUUAAAAUUGGAUAAAAUUUUCCCGUCAAAAGGAAUAACCUAAACAAUUUUAAAUGAUAAUUUUAGCAAAAUUUUCGAAAAAAGGAAAAUUUUUAUUAAAAUAACUUGAUCCAAAUCAGAUAAGAGUACCCGCUGAACUUAAGCAUAUCAAUAAGCGGAGGAAGAGAAACUAACAAGGAUUCCUUAGUAACGGCGAGUGAAGCGGGAAGGCUCAAAUUUGAAAUCUUCAAGGUUUUACCUUGACGAUUGUGUUUAAGAAGUGUUUUCUGCUGAAGUUUUGGUAAAAGUUCUUUGGAAUAGGCAUCAUAGAGGGUGAGAAUCCGUAUUUGACCAUUAUUUUCAGCUUUGUGAUACACUUUCAAAGAGUCGGAUUGUUUGGGAUGCAGUCCAAAAUGGGUGGUAAAUUUCAUCUAAAGCUAAAUAUUGGCGAGAGACCGAUAGCGAACAAGUACCGUGAGGGAAAGAUGAAAAGAACUUUGAAAAGAGAGUUAAACAGUACGUGAAAUUGUCAAAAGGGAAGCGUUUGACACCAGUGUUGUUUUCUCGAAAAUCAAUUAAAAAUGGCUCGAUUUUGUAUUGCUGAGACCUUAAAAGCUCACUGUACAUUUUUCGUGUCUUUUUUAAUGCACUUUUCGUUUAACAAGUCAACAUCAGUUUCUUUUGUUGUAAAAGGUCAUUGGAAGGUGGCUUUCUUUUCGGAGAAAGUGUUUAUAGCCUUUGGCUCUGCAAUCGGAGAGACUGAGGUCUGCAGCGUAGACUCUUCGGGUUAGAUACAUUUGUGCUAAGUUAUAGCUUUUAUAGACAACUUGUUGACUAUAAUUAGUCUUGUAGCUUACUCGCUUAUGCUAUUU